CUGUCAAGAAGAAACCUGUCAUCUAUAUAUACCCUGUAGAUCCGGAUUUGUGUAAACAGACGCACAGUCACAAAUUCGUAUCUAGGGGAGUAUGUAGUUGAUGUAUAGGCUACAUUCAACU
rnacentral:pre_miRNA from 8 species